rnacentral:pre_miRNA from 1 species
CUUUUUGCGGUCUGGGCUUUCUGGGUCUGUCGCAGCCCGUGGCAGAAAGCCCUUACCCCAAAGAGCAU